CGCGGAAGUCUCAAUCAGACACAUAAAGAUCUUCUUUGGAGGAUUGCAGACAGUCUCAGUAUUCAGCUUCAUCAUGGCUCGCCUGUUGUUUGUCAUCCUCAUGUAUUCAUUUCUCGAGAUUCAAACACAAGCUCUUGAUCAACCUGAACUGACAGUGAAUCCACUGGUGAUCACAGAGACAGACUCAGUCACAUUGAACUGUCAGAUUCCAUCAUCUGUUUCUGUGCCACAGUGUUAUUUCCGCCCUAUCAGAGACAUAGCUGUUAAAAGCCCUUGUCUGCAGACACUGACAGGAACUGAGCUGCUGAACAUGUCACAUCAGAGUUCACCUGCUGACGUUAAUUUGAUGUGUUAUUACACUCUAAAGUUUGGAAAGACGACUUCUAAAUCUCAACUCAGUGACACAUCC